rnacentral:rRNA from 1 species
CCUACGGGAGGCAGCAGUGGGGAAUAUUGCACAAUGGGGUAAACCCUGAUGCAGCGACGCCGCGUGAGUGAAGAAGUAAUUCGUUACGUAAAGCUCUAUCAGCAGGGAAGAAACACUGACCUUACGGUCAGCAGACGGUACCUGAGUAAGAAGCCCCGGCUAACUACGUGCCAGCAGCCGCGGUAAUACGUAGGGGGCAAGCGUUAUCCGGAUUUACUGGGUGUAAAGGGAGCGUAGACGGCGAGGCAAGUCUGGAGUGAAAGCCCGGGGCUCAACCCCGGGACUGCUUUGGAAACUGCCUGGCUGGAGUGCUGGAGAGGCAAGCGGAAUUCCUAGUGUAGCGGUGAAAUGCGUAGAUAUUAGGAAGAACACCAGUGGCGAAGGCGGCUUGCUGGACAGUAACUGACGUUGAGGCUCGAAAGCGUGGGGAGCAAACAGGAGUAGAUACCCGAGUAGUC